rnacentral:rRNA from 1 species
AGGAAUAUUGGUCAAUGGACGAGAGUCUGAACCAGCCAAGUAGCGUGAAGGAUGAAGGUUCUAUGGAUUGUAAACUUCUUUUAUACGGGAAUAAACGAAUCCACGCGUGGAUUUUUGCAUGUACCGUAUGAAUAAGGAUCGGCUAACUCCGUGCCAGCAGCCGCGGUAAUACGGAGGAUCCGAGCGUUAUCCGGAUUUAUUGGGUUUAAAGGGAGCGUAGAUGGGUUGUUAAGUCAGUUGUGAAAGUUUGCGGCUCAACCGUAAAAUUGCAAUUGAUACUGGCAGUCUUGAGUACAGUUGAGGUAGGCGGAAUUCGUGGUGUAGCGGUGAAAUGCUUAGAUAUCACGAAGAACUCCGAUUGCGAAGGCAGCUUACUAACCUGUAACUGACAUUGAUGCUCGAAAGUGUGGGUAUCAAACAGGAUUAGAUACCCUGGUAGUCCACACGGUAAACGAUGAAUACUCGCUGUAGGCGAUAUACAGUCUGCGGCCAAGCGAAAGCAUUAAGUAUUCCACCUGGGGAGUACGCCGGCAACGGUGAAACUCGAAGGAAUUGACGGGGGCCCGCACAAGCGGAGGAACAUGUGGUUUAAUUCGAUGAUACGCGAGGAACCUUACCCGGGCUUAAAUUGCAACCGAAUAUGGCGGAAACGCUAUAGCUAGCAAUAGCGGUUGUGAAGGUGCUGCAUGGUUGUCGUCAGCUCGUGCCGUGAGGUGUCGGCUUAAGUGCCAUAACGAGCGCAACCCUUGCCGAUAGUUACUAACAGGUUAUGCUGAGGACUCUGUCGGGACUGCCAUCGUAAGAUGUGAGGAAGGUGGGGAUGACGUCAAAUCAGCACGGCCCUUACGUCCGGGGCUACACACGUGUUACAAUGGGGGGUACAGAGGGCUGCUACCACGCAAGUGGAUGCCAAUCCCAAAAACCUCUCUCAGUUCGGAUGGAAGUCUGCAACCGGACUUCAUGAAGCGGGAUUCGCUAGUAAUCGGGCAUCAGCCACGGCGCGGGGAAUACGUUCCCG